rnacentral:rRNA from 1 species
GUAGGGUGCAAGCGUUAAUCGGAAUUACUGGGCGUAAAGCGUGCGCAGGCGGCUUUGCAAGACAGAUGUGAAAUCCCCGGGCUUAACCUAGGAACUGCAUUUGUGACUGCAUGGCUGGAGUGCGGCAGAGGGGGAUGGAAUUCCGCGUGUAGCAGUGAAAUGCGUAGAUAUGCGGAGGAACACCGAUGGCGAAGGCAAUCCCCUGGGCCUGCACUGACGCUCAUGCACGAAAGCGUGGGGAGCAAACAGGAUUAGAUACCCUGGUAGUCCACGCCCUAAACGAUGUCAACUGGUUGUUGGACGGCUUGCUGUUCAGUAACGAAGCUAACGCGUGAAGUUGACCGCCUGGGGAGUACGGCCGCAAGGUUG